rnacentral:rRNA from 1 species
CAGCCGCCGCGGUAAUGCGUAGGUGGCAAGCGUUGUCCGGAAUUAUUGGGCGUAAAGCGCGCGCAGGUGGUUUAAUAAGUCUGAUGUGAAAGCCCACGGCUCAACCGUGGAGGGUCAUUGGAAACUGUUAAACUUGAGUGCAGGAGAGAAAAGUGGAAUUCCUAGUGUAGCGGUGAAAUGCGUAGAGAUUAGGAGGAACACCAGUGGCGAAGGCGGCUUUUUGGCCUGUAACUGACACUGAGGCGCGAAAGCGUGGGGAGCAAACAGGAUUAGAUACCCCGGUAGUCCCUGUCUCUUAUAC